AAAAAAAUGGGACUAGGACUAAAUGUCAAGAAGAUUAAACUAAGGACAAUGGGUACAGCAACCAGCCUCAGAAUUGACAAUGAAGACAUUGAAGUGGUGGAUAGCUUCUGCCUUUUAGGAUUGAUCACCAACAGUCAAUGAUCCAGCAGUCAAGAAAUACACUUCAGACUAGCACUUGGUAGGGAUGCAAUGAAGGAGGCCUUGGAAAGGAUAUUUAGAUGCUGCUACGUGUCUAUACCUACAAAGAUUAGAAUCGUUCAGACAAUGGUUUUUCCCAUUACACUUUAUGGAUGCGAAAGCUGGACUUUGAAGAAGCAGGAUAGAACAAAUAUUGAUGGUUUUGAACUCUGCUGCUGGAGAAGACUUUUGAGAAAACAAACAAAUGGAUCAUAGUACAAAUCAAUCCAGAAUUUUCACUCAAGGCACAAAUGACCAGGCUCAAACUAUCAUACUUUGGGCACAUUAUGCAAAGAUCCAGCUCCCUUAAGAAGUCCAUAAUUCUGGAGAAAGUUGAAGGAAAGGAAAGACGAGGGCGAGCAGCAGCAAGGUGGAUGGACUCGAUUACGACAGCAAUGAAUGCACCACUGAGAGACCUUAAAGGCCAAGUUGAAGACAGAUCAUCCUGGAGAGAAUCUAUCCAUGUGGUCGUUAAGAGUUGCCACCGACUUGACAGCACUUAAUCAAUCAAUCUAAAAUAGAGCUUCACAACUUUGAACCUCCAGCUUUUGUUGUACUACAAGACCUUUCAUCAGUAUUUACCGCUGUGGCUAAGGAUGAUGGGAUCUGUAGUCCAACAGCUGGAGAGCCAAAGCUCUCCAAUCUAAAAGGAAAAACCUUUAACAUGCCUGGGUAUUCAAACUCUAGAAAAAUAAUUUAAAAAUAAAAAUGUUUGUGGACCAAUAGGUUUUGGUGUUCUCUAGUUAUUAACAUCAUUAAUACAUACUGAAAUGUGCUUUAUCCCUCUUUCUUUUCCAAGAGCAAUCUAAAUGUGAAUCCAAAAAAAGAACCAGUUUAGAAUAUGUAAAUCUAACUCAGAGUCUUAUUGGCAUUCAGAAAGAGGUUUUUUCCCCUCCUGCAAUACAAUAAACUGCUUCAUUUUCUCUUGUUUACGUGUUAAAAGACCAGACAUUUAAUUUAGUUGGAAAAUAAAAAGAGCAAUAUCUAAUUUAAUUUCUGCCAGUCACAUUUUAAAACCAGAAAGCUACAGUAUUUGUUUCCGAUUCUCCUAUACUUGGGUUGAUGUGUUUUUUCUUUGCAAUUCAUGCAAAUUGCAUAACAAACAAGGAUUGAUAGUCCUCUUAACGAAUUUGUCCAUGUACAGUUAAAUAAUUUACAAUGGGAAUUAUUAAUGGUGUUUUCAACAUUUAGUACAUGGCUUCUUAAUAAGGGGUGCUUUCAGAUGACAACAAAAAAGCAAAUUUCAGGUUUGUAUGUAUGUAUUUUUAUUUGCCUUCUGUAGAAGGAACAGCUAUGUCACAGAACAUUCAUCCACCCCUCCUCCUCAGCCAGAGUCUAUACAGUCUCAUUGCUGUGGUGGCUUGAGAAUUACAACCAGCCAGAACUCUCCCUAUAAAGAGUGCCAGCCAUUGCCAUUGCUGCUACUGCUUGGGUGAGGGUGCAUUAGUCUGGAAAACAAACUAUAAACUUAGUACAACAAGCUCGCAUUAGUGCAGUAUACUGGUACAAGUGCAGCAUUAGUCAAGGUGUUGGCCUUCAUAUUUUACUUUUUGAAAACAAAAUAAACAAUGGAACCUGCUGCGGUUUCCAGACAAGGAGGUGAAACUGACAAACCUUCAUCAGUUUACAAUUUAAAAAAAUAAUCUGGAAAUUGUGGCAGCAUUAUCGUUUCAGGUUCAUGAGCUCCGUGUCGUUGGAAUGGUAUUUAGAACUGGUGAAGGUCCCCCUAUCAGUUAGAUAUCCAAUGAUAAACAUGCCAUGGAAGUGAGCAUGUGGGAUGCCUUUCCUGGGAAAGAAGGGCCGAUCAUGUGCCAGAGGAUCCACAAAACCUGGAGCCAGUCCUAGUAUGCUGGUGGCAUAAGACAGCAAAUGGAGUUUGAGCGCUGAAGGACCAUGUUGUGCCAUCUAUUUUCAGGCUACAUUCUCUACCUAUUCUACCAUAAUCUAGCAGGAUGUGAUGCAUCCAUACAUGGUAUAUCUUAUUUCAUUCGGGGUUUGGAAAUGAAUUAAACAUUACGAUUCAUUGAA